UGCAUGGUGGCGCAGUUGGUAGCACUGUUGCCUUGCCAAGAAGGUCCUGGGUUCGAUUCCCGUCCGGGUGUCUUUCUGCAU